AGCUCUCCGAGUGGUGUGGAUGUUUAUUGGGCCUAAAGCAUCCGUAGCUGGCUAAGUAAGUCCCUUGUUAAAUCCACCGAAUUAAUCGUUGGAUUGCGGGGGAUACUGCUUGGCUAGGGGACGAGAGAGGCAGACGGUAUUUCCGGGGUAGGGGUGAAAUCCUAUAAUCCCGGGAAGACCACCAGUGGCGAAGGCUGUCUGCUAGAACGCGCCCGACGGUGAGGGAUGAAAGCUGGGGGAGCGAACC
rnacentral:rRNA from 1 species